AAAUGAAUUGACGGGGGCCCGCACAAGCGGUGGAGCAUGUGGUUCAAUUCGAAGCAACGCGCAGAACCUUACCAGGCCUUGACAUCCCGGUCGCGGCCCCUUGAAAGAGGGGCCUUCAGUUCGGCUGGACCGGUGACAGGUGCUGCAUGGCUGUCGUCAGCUCGUGUCGUGAGAUGUUGGGUUAAGUCCCGCAACGAGCGCAACCCUCGCCCUUAGUUGCCAUCAUUUAGUUGGGCACUCUAAGGGGACUGCCGGUGAUAAGCCGCGAGGAAGGUGGGGAUGACGUCAAGUCCUCAUGGCCCUUACGGCCUGGGCUACACACGUGCUACAAUGGCGGUGACAAUGGGCAGCAAUGGCGCGAGCCGGAGCUAAUCUCAAAAAGCCGUCUCAGUUCGGAUUGCACUCUGCAACUCGGGUGCAUGAAGUUGGAAUCGCUAGUAAUCGUGGAUCAGCAUGCCACGGUGAAUACGUUCCCGGGCCUUGUACACACCGCCCGU
rnacentral:rRNA from 1 species